CUGGUGGCAAACAAAAUAUACAAUGACAGGAAGGACCCUUCACUACACUUGUUAAAAUAUGGAAGGGACCUCCUUGGGAAGCUAUAAAUUCUUGGUCACCGCAAGGAGUAGAAAGUGAGCCUGCAGAAGACAGAGCUGGGCCACAGGAGAUGAGCCGGCCGAGCUCCUGCCCCCUCAGCCCUUCUGAUAAAGGCUCUGUCUGACCCCCAGACCCUCAGCCAUGCCUCCCGGGGCUCACAGGCCCUGAGAAGCCUGGUGUGGGUCCCAGUGCUCUCCUCUGACCUGGGGGAGGAAGGGCUGUGUUGUAACUCCUUGUCUUUCUUCUGGUCCUGUGUGCUUUUUCUCAGUGAGCACGUGCCAUAUGGUGGGGCACUUACGUCUUGUCUGAUGCCCCUCUAAGCCCAGGGCUUCCUGAGGACAGGAAUCCAGGCCUCAGGAGAGAGCCUGGGCGUGGAGUGAGGGCCCCGGCCUGAGCUGCGCCACGAGCCCAAGGACACCAUCUAUGCGCUCCGCUGGUGUUGGCUUCCACGUGUGUAAGACGAGCGGCCCGGCUGCUCUUGGGUGUUUCUUGACUUUUCAACGGUCCUUGGGCCUCAGCAAAAUUGGCAGAAAUCAAAAAUGUGUUAUCUUAGGCAUCCCUGCUGACUCAGUGGUAAAGAAUCUGCCUGCCAAUGCAAGAGACACAGGUUCGAUCCAGAAAGAUCCCACACGCUGUGGAGCAGCUACGUCCGCGCACCACGACUAUUGCUCCUGUAGAGCCUGGAGCCGCAACCCCUGACACCCAUGCCUCCCAGAGCCUGUCUCUGCAACAAGAGCGUGGGGGGCUUUCUUGGAGUGAAAACUGCUCCCCCACAGCACGGACAGUGCCUGAGAUGAGGACCAGAUGGCCCUGCAAGCCUGACGGGGGAGCCACAGCCUUCAGUCACCGUGCAGGGUUCACAAACUGGAGAGCUCAUCGCAGUGUGCUUAAAGACUUGAGGGGUCCUGGGUGAGGCAGAAAAUGGUGUGGGCAGAGCAUGGGAUCAAGAAAGGCGUCCUGGACCCGGUGAGGUCUGAGCUGGGUCUCCAAAGGUGAGUUUGGCAGGGCCUGGCUCUGAGCAGGACUCAAAUACAUGAUGAAUGACGAAAUGAAUGAAAAUGGAAAUCUUCCCCCCAAAAACCAAGACUGUCAGCUCUUCUGUAACUGAGUCCAAGCUUGUCCUGCUCACCUCACGACAGGCCAAUAAACUGAGAGAUGAGUUCUUGGGGCA
rnacentral:lncRNA from 1 species